UACGAAGGGAGCUAGCGUUGUUCGGAAUCGCUGGGCGUAAAGCGCACGUAGGCGGAUGUGUCAGUCAGGGGGUGAAAUCCCGGAGCUCAACUUCGGAACUGCCCUUGAUACAGCACGUCUUGAGUCCGGAAGAGGUGGGUGGAAUUCCUAGUGUAGAGGUGAAAUUCGUAGAUAUUAGGAAGAACACCGGUGGCGAAGGCGGCCCACUGGUCCGGUACUGACGCUGAGGUGCGAAAGCGUGGGGAGCAAACAGG
rnacentral:rRNA from 1 species